GUCUCUGUAGCUCAGCUGGAUAGAGCGUCCGCCUCCUAAGCGGAAGGUCGUGUGUUCGAAUCACAUCAGAGACG
rnacentral:tRNA from 1 species